UACGUAGGGACCAAGCGUUGUCCGGAAUCAUUGGGCGUAAAGAGCGUGUAGGCGGCUUGUUAAGUCUUGCGUGAAAUCUCGGGGCUCAACCCCGAGCGGUCGUGAGAAACUGGCAGGCUAGAGUGCGGGAGAGGAGAGUGGAAUUCCUGGUGUAGCGGUGAAAUGCGCAGAUAUCAGGAAGAACACCCGUGGCGAAGGCGGCUCUCUGGACCGUAACUGACGCUGAGACACGAAAGCGUGGGUAGCAAACAGG
rnacentral:rRNA from 1 species